UAGGGAAUCUUCCACAAUGGACGCAAGUCUGAUGGAGCAACGCCGCGUGAGUGAAGAAGGUUUUCGGACCGUAAAGCUCUGUUGUUGGUGAAGAAGGAUAGAGGUAGUAACUGGCCUUUAUUUGACGGUAAUCAACCAGAAAGUCACGGCUAACUACGUGCCAGCAGCCGCGGUAAUACGUAGGUGGCAAGCGUUGUCCGGAUUUAUUGGGCGUAAAGCGAGCGCAGGCGGAAGAAUAAGUCUGAUGUGAAAGCCCUCGGCUUAACCGAGGAAUUGCAUCGGAAACUGUUUUCUUGAGUGCAGAAGAGGAGAGUAGAACUCCAUGUGUAGCGGUGGAAUGCGUAGAUAUAUGGAAGAAUACCAGUGGCGAAGGCGGCUCUCUGGUCUGCAACUGACGCUGAGGCUCGAAAGCAUGGGUAGCGAACAGGAUUAGAUACCCUGGUAGUCCA
rnacentral:rRNA from 1 species